AUUGAACGCUGGCGGCAGGCCUAACACAUGCAAGUCGAGCGGAUGAGAGGAGCUUGCUCCUCGAUUCAGCGGCGGACGGGUGAGUAAUGCCUAGGAAUCUGCCUAGUAGUGGGGGACAACGUUUCGAAAGGAACGCUAAUACCGCAUACGUCCUACGGGAGAAAGUGGGGGUCUUCGGACCUCAAGCUAUUAGAUGAGCCUAGGUCGGAUUAGCUAGUUGGUAGGGUAAAGGCCUACCAAGGCGACGAUCCGUAACUGGUCUGGGAGGAUGAUCAGUCACACUGGAACUGAGACACGGUCCAGACUCCUACGGGAGGCAGCAGUGGGGAAUAUUGGACAAUGGGCGAAAGCCUGAUCCAGCCAUGCCGCGUGUGUGAAGAAGGCCUUCGGGUCGUAAAGCACUUUAAGUUGGGAGGAAGGGCUCAUAGCGAAUACCUGUGAGUUUUGACGUUACCAACAGAAUAAGCACCGGCUAACUUCGUGCCAGCCGCCGCAGUAAUAC
rnacentral:rRNA from 1 species